rnacentral:rRNA from 1 species
GACGAACGCUGGCGGCGUGCUUAACACAUGCAAGUCGAACGAUGAAGCCCUUCGGGGUGGAUUAGUGGCGAACGGGUGAGUAACACGUGGGCAAUCUGCCCUUCACUCUGGGACAAGCCCUGGAAACGGGGUCUAAUACCGGAUACCACCUUCCGAGGCAUCUUGGGGGGUUGAAAGCUCCGGCGGUGAAGGAUGAGCCCGCGGCCUAUCAGCUUGUUGGUGGGGUGAUGGCCUACCAAGGCGACGACGGGUAGCCGGCCUGAGAGGGCGACCGGCCACACUGGGACUGAGACACGGCCCAGACUCCUACGGGAGGCAGCAGUGGGGAAUAUUGCACAAUGGGCGAAAGCCUGAUGCAGCGACGCCGCGUGAGGGAUGACGGCCUUCGGGUUGUAAACCUCUUUCAGCAGGGAAGAAGCGCAAGUGACGGUACCUGCAGAAGAAGCGCCGGCUAACUACGUGC